ACCCCUGUUGUCUUACUUGCUUAAUUACUAACUUUUUAACAGCUUGAACUCUUUUAAAAUUUAUGUAAUUAUCGAGAGUUGGAUUUUGUUUAAACCUAAGGUAAGCCGCUUUACUAUCAUUGACAGCUGUCGCACACCUGUUAUUCCACCAAGGUACUGCAAUAUGUUUGUGCCUCUUUGAAGUAUUUGCACCGCUAUUUGAUAAGUUCCUACGUGGAACGGAACGUUCCACAGCUGUCAAAAUAAUUUUACAGAAUCUAUUGUAAUUGUUUAAGGGUUCAUUGACAUCAUACUCGAAAUCCAAAAGUAAUCGAUUAACAGUUUCAGAAUAAAGAUCCCAAUUAACGAGACAUGCUGCAACGCUCAGAAUUCUUACAGAAUUUAGCUAAAUGUCCAUACCUCAAGCACCGGUAGCAUUGUUUAACUGGUGGUAUAUAUGGAGUGACAUUGUGGCGCCAACCUCCAAUAUCCAGAUAUUCAGGUAAUACAGAUGCAGCAAAAGUAAUUGUCACGGUUAGAGUUGGCUGUAACACAUAUCCAUGAGUCAAGAUUCUGAGUCAGUAGAAGUAUCUUCCGAAUAUAUAUCCUUGUCAUUACAAGGUUCAUGGUCUACAUCACCUGAAUCGUCAUCUUUUUUUUCCUUUUUCUACAACUGCGCUUCCCCAUGAAUGCUAAUUAUAUUACUGUCGCUGAAUUUAGUGAGAAUAUAAUAUUUUAUUCAAUAAUAAGAAUUGAUAGAGAUAGUUUUAAUAAAUUAAUAAAAAAAAAUUUAAAAAACCCGCUUGUUCUUAUUCGAGUUUCCCGCCUUUUUCGAUUAACAAUCAGAAACGAUAAAAUUACGUUUAUUGAUGGAUUGACUUAUUGACAUUACCGUCAGUUGUCAAACUGACUCAAGACUGUCUCAGAUAAAUAACAUUACUAGCAUAGAUUAAAAAUAAGGAAGUAGUUGAAUCUUAGAUUAUGAAGUAGUCUACGUCAAACAAAAUAUAUUGGCAUGUAUAUUAGAAAUAGAUAGAUAGACGGAUAAAUUCAUGCACACAGUAUAAAUUCAAAAGUUUUGACGACAAACAAAAUAAAUUCUAAAUUAUUUUUACGUUUUCAUCUAAAUAUAAAUAAACUUUGUGUUUAAAUUUAAGUGAACUUAGUUACUUAAAUGUUGACACUGCCUCAGAAUAUAAACAUAGCUUCAAUUAGGAAAAGAAACAUAAAAUUAAAAAAAAUUGCACGUAAUCACGUUUUAUACAUUUAUCUUAUAGUCUAAGAUUAAUCUC